rnacentral:SRP_RNA from 1 species
GCCAGGUGUGGUGGCGGGCACCUGUAAUCCCAGCUACUCGGGAGGCUGAGACAGGAGAAUUGUUUGAACCCAGGAGGUGGAGGUUGCAGUGAGCUGAGAUCGUGCCACUGCACUCCAGCCUGGGUGACAGAGCGAGACUUCGUCUCAA